GCCAGGCGCGGUGGCGCGUGCCUCUAGGCCCAGCCACUCGGGAGGCUGACGCAGGAGGAUCGCUUAAGUCCGGGAGAUCUGGGCUACAGUGAGCUAUGCCGAUCGGGUGUCCGCACUAAGUUUGGCAUCAAUAUGGUGACCUUCCGGGAGCGGGGGACCACCAGGUUACCUAAGGAGGGCUGAACCGGCCCAGGUCGGAAACGGGGCAGGUCAAAACUCCCGUGCUGAUCAGGAGUGGGAUCGCGCCAUGAAUAGCCACUGCACUCCAGCCUGGGCAACAUAGUGAGACCCUACCUUA
rnacentral:SRP_RNA from 1 species